rnacentral:rRNA from 1 species
UACAGAGGGUGCGAGCGUUAAUCGGAAUUACUGGGCGUAAAGCGUGCGUAGACGGUUAUUUAAGUCGGAUGUGAAAGCCCCGGGCUCAACCUGGGAAUUGCAUUCGAGACUGAAUAGCUAGGGUGCGGUAGAGGGAAGCGGAAUUUCCGGUGUAGCGGUGAAAUGCGUAGAUAUCGGAAGGAACAUCAGUGGCGAAAGCGACUUCCUGGACCAAUACUGACGCUCAUGUGCGAAAGCGUGAGGAGCAAACAGG